CCUACGGGGGGCAGCAGUGAGGAAUAUUGGACAAUGGCCGUAAGGCUGAACCAGCCAAGUCGCGUGAAGGAAGAAGGAUCUAUGGUUUGUAAACUUCUUUUAUAGGGGAAUAAAGGUAUCCACGAGUGGCUUUUUGCAUGUACCCUAUGAAUAAGCAUCGGCUAACUCCGUGCCAGCAGCCGCGGUAAUACGGAGGGUGCGAUCGUUAUCCGGAUUUAUUGGGUGUAAAGGGUCCGUAGGUUGUGUGUUAAGUUAGCUGUGAAAGUUUGUGGCUCAACCAUAAAAUUGCCGUUGAAACUGGAAGACUUGAGUGUGUUAGAGGUAGGUGGAAUGCGUGGUGUAGCGGUGAAAUGCAUAGAGAUCACGCAGAACUCCGAUUGCGAAGGCAGCUUACUAGGCCAUAACUGACACUGAAGCACGAAAGCGUGGGGAUCAAACAGGAUUAGAUACCCGAGUAGUC
rnacentral:rRNA from 1 species